rnacentral:rRNA from 1 species
GUGGGGAAUCUUCCGCAAUGGACGAAAGUCUGACGGAGCAACGCCGCGUGAGUGAAGAAGGUUUUCGGAUCGUAAAGCUCUUUCGUUAGGGACGAACGUGCUCUUUGUGAAUAAUGAGGAGUAAUGACGGUACCUAAAUAAGAAGCCACGGCUAACUACGUGCCAGCAGCCGCGGUAAUACGUAGGUGGCAAGCGUUGUCCGGAAUUAUUGGGCGUAAAGCGCGCGCAGGCGGGAUAUCAAGUCUGUCUUAAAAGUGCGAGGCUCAACCUCGUGAGGGGACAGAAACUGGUAUUCUUGAGUGUCGGAGAGGAAAGUGGAAUUACAAGUGUAGCGGUGAAAUGCGUAGAGAUUUGGAAGAACACCAGUGGCGAAGGCGACUUUCUGGACGAUGUCUGACGCUGAGGCGCGAAAGCUAGGGGAGCGAACGGGAUUAGAAACCCCGGUAGUCC